rnacentral:rRNA from 2 species
GACAGAGGGUGCAAACGUUGUUCGGAUUUACUGGGCGUAAAGCGCGUGUAGGCGGCUUUGCAAGUCGGAUGUGAAAGCCCACGGCUCAACCGUGGAAGUGCAUCCGAAACUGCAUGGCUGGAGUCCCGGAGAGGAAGGUGGAAUGCUUGGUGUAGAGGUGAAAUUCGUAGAUAUCAAGCAGAACACCUGCGGCGAAGGCGGCCUUCUGGACGGUGACUGACGCUGAGACGCGAAAGCGUGGGGAGCAAACAGG